rnacentral:rRNA from 1 species
AUUGAACGCUGGCGGCAGGCCUAACACAUGCAAGUCGAACGAGUCGCGGACGGGUGAGUAAUGUCUGGGAAACUGCCCGAUGGAGGGGGAUAACCACUGGAAAGGGUAGCUAAUACCGCAUAAUCUCGGAUGUGCCCAUAUGUGAUUAGCUAGUAGGUGGGGUAAAUGCUCACCUAGGCGACGCUCCCUCGCUGGUCUGAGAGGAUGACCAGCCACACUGGAACUGAGACAUGGUCCAGAAUCCUACGGGAGGCAGCAGGGGGGAAUAUUGCACAAUGGGGGCAAGCCUGAUGCAGCCAUGCCGCGUGUAUGAAGAAGGCCCUAGGGUUGUAAAGUACUUUCAGUCGGGAGGCGUUACCGACAGAAGAAGCACCGGCUAACUCCGUGCCAGCAGCCGCGGUAAUAC